UACAGAGGGUGCAAGCGUUAAUCGGAAUUACUGGGCGUAAAGCGCACGUAGGCGGCUUUCUAAGUCGGGGGUGAAAUCCUGGAGCUCAACUCCAGAACUGCCUUCGAUACUGGAGAGCUCGAGUCCGGGAGAGGUGAGUGGAACUGCGAGUGUAGAGGUGAAAUUCGUAGAUAUUCGCAAGAACACCAGUGGCGAAGGCGGCUCACUGGCCCGGUACUGACGCUGAGGUGCGAAAGCGUGGGGAGCAAACAGG
rnacentral:rRNA from 1 species